CAAGGUUUAGAAAUAAACAAAACUUGGCUGUAAAAUUUUGCUGUGCUGGAAUAGAAUACCUAUUCUCUGAUAGUGAUUGUCAGCCUACAGAAAAAGACAAUUCCCUUGUCUCUGCUCUGGGCCCAAAUCAAAGCAAAAAACCUCCAACUACUUGGAAACCUGCUUACCAGCAGCCCAACGGAAAAAAAAAAUUCCUUUUCAAACCUGUGCUCCUUGUAAAACAAAAAAAUCAAAAUCCUAAAAAAAAAACCCUGCCACUUUUGUCUCGAGGCAAAUGGGUAGAACACCCCCCUCCCUAUUUACUUUUAGGGGAAAAAAAAACAAACCUCUGGGUUGGAAGACUGUGAAUUUCCCUGCAGGAGUUAAGUACCCUGCCUCCAGGCAAAGAAAACCUGCAAUUCACAAAGAUAAUCCCC